rnacentral:lncRNA from 1 species
GAUCACGCUACUAAUUAAAUUACUUUAAUUAAAAUUGGAUUAAAAUAUACCCCUCUACAAAAUCCUUGGGUGACGCCCGCGAAGAUCCCACAACGAUUUUUCGGUGCACAGGCGCGCCAAUAGAAAGAAAAUCGAUGAUUGUCGAUUUCUAGUUUAGUUGGUCACGAACUCACAAAGAGGCAACACAUCGUCAUUACUUAGGUGACGGAGUUUGGGCAAAAUUGGGAAAAUAUAUAACUAAAAGACCUCGAACAUCAGCCAAUAACCCAUACUAAUAAUAAUCAAGCAGUAGUUAUAUCUGGAGACUUAUUUACAAGAAAGGAAAAAGGUUAUAAUACCGCCGAUGUGUUGCUUUGCUCAAAUUCCGUCCCGUAGCUACUUGUCACAUAGACACUUAGCCUAGUCAAUUUAGAUAGAUUGUAUCAUCAUUUAAUGUGCCAUCAUAUAAAUAUGUGCCAGUUACUGUAAGCAGCUAGGGUAUGGGUUACCCCUAGAGUUACUUUUGAUUGGAUUGGAUAGUACCUAUUUCACAACAUCCAGGAUUGGAUUUAUCACCACAGCAGCCCACUAGUUUUUGCCGUGCCAAGAGGAAAUUCAUUCCUAUCUGGACCUUUUUAAAUAGGAACUGUGGUUAAGAUAAGUUGUUUAAUCUUAUUAUUUACAUAUUUUGGGUACUCUAUAGUUGCUUGCACUGUAAACUUCUUGUAUGCAUACAAUUGAGGUAAACUAGGUACAUAUUUCUUGAUAGAUAGGGUUUUAGGUCGUUGGUUUUUUUUUAAUUUAAUAGAAGUAGUAGUUUCCAAUAAAUAAAAUUAGGUCUUGUUCAAUAAUCAUUAUAAAUAAUAAUUGUAGCUUAAAAAUUUGAUAGGAAAGGGGUCGUUAAA